CGGACGGGUGAGUAACACGUGGAUAACCUACCUAUAAGACUGGGAUAACUUCGGGAAACCGGAGCUAAUACCGGAUAAUAUAUUGAACCGCAUGGUUCAAUGGUGAAAGACGGUUUUGCUGUCACUUAUAGAUGGAUCCGCGCCGCAUUAGCUAGUUGGUAAGGUAACGGCUUACCAAGGCAACGAUGCGUAGCCGACCUGAGAGGGUGAUCGGCCACACUGGAACUGAGACACGGUCCAGACUCCUACGGGAGCAGCAGGC
rnacentral:rRNA from 1 species